rnacentral:rRNA from 1 species
UACGUAGGGUGCGAGCGUUAAUCGGAAUACUGGCGUAAGACGUGCGCAGGCGGUUUGUAAGCCAGAUGUGAAAUCCCCCGGGCUUAACCUGGGAAUGGCAUUUGGGACUGCAAGGCUUGAGUGCGGCAGAGGAGACUGGAAUUCCUGGUGUAGCAGUGAAAUGCGUAGAUAUCAGGAGGAACACCGAUGGCGAAGGCAGGUCUCUGGGCCGUAACUGACGCUGAGGAGCGAAAGCAUGGGGAGCGAACAGGAUU